AGUGAACGCUGGCGGUAGGCCUAACACAUGCAAGUCGAACGGCAGCACAGUAAGAGCUUGCUCUUACGGGUGGCGAGUGGCGGACGGGUGAGGAAUACAUCGGAAUCUACUUUUUCGUGGGGGAUAACGUAGGGAAACUUACGCUAAUACCGCAUACGACCUACGGGUGAAAGCAGGGGAUCUUCGGACCUUGCGCGAUUGAAUGAGCCGAUGUCGGAUUAGCUAGUUGGCGGGGUAAAGGCCCACCAAGGCGACGAUCCGUAGCUGGUCUGAGAGGAUGAUCAGCACCACUGGACCGGAGACACGGUCCAGACUCCUACGGGAGGCAGCAGUGGGGAAUAUUGGACAAUGGGCGCAAGCCUGAUCCAGCCAUACCGCGUGGGUGAAGAAGGCCUUCGGGUGGUAAAGCCCUUUUGUUGGGAAAGAAAAGCAGCAGGUUAAUACCCCGCUGUUCUGACGGUACCCAAAGAAUAAGCACCGGCUAACUUCGU
rnacentral:rRNA from 1 species